rnacentral:rRNA from 1 species
UACGUAGGGUGCGAGCGUUUUGUCCGGAAUUAUUGGGCGUAAAGAGCUUGUAGGCGGUUUUGUCGCGUCUGCCGUGAAAAUCCGAGGCUCAACCUCGGACUUGCGGUGGGUACGGGGCAGACUAGAGUGUGGUAGGGGAGACUGGAAUUCCUGGUGUAGCGGUGAAAUGCGCAGAUAUCAGGAGGAACACCGGUGGCGAAGGCGGGUCUCUGGGCAGUAACUGACGCUGAGGAGCGAAAAGCGUGGGGAGCGAACAGG